UUGCCGUCGCUCAAACGCGCCUUUGCGAGGCAAGCGAUGGGCCUCGGGCCGGGGGUGACGGGACUGCUCGCCGGACAAGGGCUGCACCGGUCCGGGUGACGCCCCGAAGGCGCUGCGGCGCCCGAGCCGGUUCGCGCCGCCCUGACGAUUGCGCGAUUCGGGGCUCAGGCCACGCUGUUGUUGCAACUCCGAAUUUUCGUUUCGCUU
rnacentral:misc_RNA from 1 species